rnacentral:rRNA from 1 species
UACAGAGGUGGCGAGCGUUGUUCGGAUUUACUGGGCGUAAAGGGCGCGUAGGCGGCCGCGUGUGUCGCGUGUGAAAUCCCCGGGCUCAACCCGGGAAGUGCGCGCGAAACUGCGGGGCUCGAGCGGAGGAGGGGAGAGCGGAAUUCAUGGUGUAGCGGUGAAAUGCGUUGAUAUCAUGAGGAACACCGGUGGCGAAGGCGGCUCUCUGGAAUCCUGCUGACGCUGAGGCGCGAAAGUCGGGGGAGCAAACAGGAUUAGAUACCCGGUA